rnacentral:sRNA from 1 species
GUUUAACUCUGAUGUCUCUGUUGAUUUUUUUUUUUUUUUGGUCUGGGUGAUCUUUCCAUUACUGAGUGAAUUGUUGAAUUGUCCACGUUACUAUAAUUUAUUCUUUCUUUCUCUUUAUGUCUAUUAACGUUUGCUUUAUAUAUUUGGGUUCACCAGUGUUGGGUACACUAUAUUUAGAAUUAUUAUAUUCUCUUGCUAAAUGGACUACUUUAGUAGUAUAUGGGGACCACCUUUGUUUCUUUUUACAGUCUUUGACUUGAAGUCUAUUUUAUCUAAUAUAAAUAUAGCUAUUCCUGCUCUUUUGUGUUUCCAUGUGCAUGUAAUAUAUUUUUCCAUGCCUUUAUUUUCAGUCUAUGUGUCUUCAUACAUGAUGUAUUUUUAUAGGCAGCAUAUAGUGAGGGCUUACUUUUUAUCCAUUCUGACAUUCUCCUUGUCUUUUAAGUAGAGAAUAUAGUCCAGAGGAAGGUAAGUAGGUUACUAGUUACUCUCUUGUGACUGGUAGUAAAAGUCCUACAUUAGUGUUUUAAAUGUUUAGAGAUGUUAAAACCUAUAACUAUCAGCAGCAUUCAUAUCCUUUUCCAAAUUCAAACAGUAAGCCCAUCAAAAUAUAACUCCUAGUAAAGAUUUUACUAUUGUCAUGAUGUAUUUUUACUUGUACAUUUCACUAAUUCAUAGCAAUGUGGACCUGAUAGCUGUUGUGAUUUUCGAACUUGUGUACUGAAAGACGGAGCAAAAUGUUAUAAAGGACUGUGCUGCAAAGACUGUCAAAUUUUACAAUCAGGCAUUGAAUGUAGGCCGAAAGCACAUCCUGAAUGUGACAUCGCUGAAAAUUGUAAUGGAAGCUCACCAGAAUGUGGUCCUGACAUAACUUUAAUCAAUGGACUUUCAUGCAAAAAUAAUAAGUUUAUUUGUUAUGAUGGAGACUGCCAUGAUCUCGAUGCACGUUGUGAGAGUGUAUUUGGAAAAGGUUUGUGUAAAUCGUGAAUGUGUAGAAUCAAGGAUAAUUAAGGCUUCAGCACAUGUCUGUUCACAACAGUGUUCUGGACAUGGAGUGUGUGAUUCCAGAAACAAGUGCCAUUGUUCGCCAGGCUAUAAUCCUCCAAACUGCCAAACACGUUCCAAAGGAUUUUCCAUAUUUCCUGAGGAAGAUAUGGGUUCAAUCAUGGAAAGAGCAUCUGGGAAGACUGAAAACACCUGGCUUCUAGGUUUCCUCAUUGCUCUUCCUAUUCUCAUUGUAACAACUGCAAUAGUUUUGGCAAGGAAACAGUUGAAAAAGUGGUUCACCAAGGAAGAGGAAUUCCCAAGUAGCGAAUCCAAAUCACAGGAAAGUACCCAAACACAAAGCAGUAGUAACUAGUGAUUCCUUCAGAAGGCAACGGAUAACAUCGAGAGUCUCGCUAAGAAAUGAAAAUUCUGUCUGUCCUUCCGUGGUCACAGCUGAAAGAAACAAUAAAUUGAGUGUGGAUC